GAUGAACGCUGGCGGCGUGCCUAAUACAUGCAAGUCGAGCGAACAGAUAAGGAGCUUGCUCCUUUGACGUUAGCGGCGGACGGGUGAGUAACACGUGGGUAACCUACCUAUAAGACUGGAAUAACUCCGGGAAACCGGGGCUAAUGCCGGAUAACAUUUAGAACCGCAUGGUUCUAAAGUGAAAGAUGGUUUUGCUAUCACUUAUAGAUGGACCCGCGCCGUAUUAGCUAGUUGGUAAGGUAACGGCUUACCAAGGCAACGAUACGUAGCCGACCUGAGAGGGGGACCGGCCAAACUGGAACGGGGACACGGCCCAGACCCCUAGGGGAGGCAGCAGUAGGGAAUCUUCCGCAAUGGGCGAAAGCCUAACGGAGCAACGCCGGGGGAGUGAUGAAGGUCUUCGGAUCGUAAAACUCUGUUAUUAGGGAAGAAAAAAUGUGUAAGUAACUGUGCACGUCUUGACGGUACCUAAUCAAAAAGCCACGGCUAACUACGU
rnacentral:rRNA from 1 species